GCGAUGUAGGGGGCGUCGUCUGCGUUAAGACUGAGGUGGCACGUGUUGUCCGGAUUUGCCAGGCGUAACGAGCGCUCAGGCGGGCGUCCAAGUCGCGUGUGAAAGCCCCCGUCUCAACUGGGGGGGGUUACGGGAUACUGGUCGACUCGAAGGCAGGAGAGGGUAGUGGAAUUCCCGGUGUAGUGGUGAAAUGCGUAGAUAUCGGGAGGAACACCAGUGGCGAAGGCGACUACCUGGCCUGUUCUUGACGCUGAGGCGCGAAAGCUAGGGGAGCAAACGGGAUUAGAUACCCGAGUAGUU
rnacentral:rRNA from 1 species